rnacentral:rRNA from 1 species
CCUACGGGAGGCAGCAGUAGGGAAUAUUGCUCAAUGGGCGAAACCCUGAAGCAGCAACGCCGCGUGGAGGAUGAAGGUUUUCGGAUUGUAAACUCCUUUUGUUAGAGAAGUAAAGGACGGUAUGUAACGAAUAAGCACUGGCUAACACCGUGCCAGCAGCCGCGGUAAUACGGAGGGUGCAAGCGUUACGCGGAAUCACUGGGCGUAAAGGGCGCGUAGGCGGGCUAGCAAGUCAGGUGUGAAAUCCUAUGGCUUAACCAUAGAACUGCAGUUGAAACUGGUAUUCUUGAGUAUGUGAGAGGCAGGUGGAAGUCGUGGUGUAGGGGUGAAAUCCGUAGAGAUCAAGAGGAAUCCUCAUUGCGAAGGCGGCCUGCUAGAACAUAACUGACGCUGAUGCGCGAAAGCGUGGGGAGCAAACAGGAUUAGAUACCCUAGUAGUC